CUUUCUUUCUUCUUCUUUCCUGCUCUUCAUUUUUUCUUCUUCUUUCUUCCGCCCAAGACACGAGCAGAGAGAGUGAGAGUAUAGAGACAGAGAGAUGAGGCCGAGAGAUUGGGAGAGAAGGAGAAACGGAGAUAGAGAGAGAACCCGAGAGAGAGAUUGAGUGGAAGAGAGACGAAGCGGGAAGAGGCUGUGACCCGACGACCCAGGUGUGCGAUCCCGGUGGUCAGAACCAAAGACCGGCGUGGCAGUGCGUUUCCGGUGGAGCCCAGGCCGAUUUCCGGCCGAUCGUGGAGGACCCGAGUAACCGCAACCCGCCAGACCCGAGAGCUCUGAUGCCCGAUCCUUCGGUGGUGGAGUCCGGGGUGAUUUUCCGGCGGUACAGGUGGACUUCCGGCGAACCAGAAGCCGAUUUCCGGCGGGCUCAGGUGUUUUCCGGCCUAACCCCGUGACCCGAAGACCCGAAGCCCAGUGACCCCAAAUCCGACAGACCCAGAACCCGGUCCUCCAUGGCGUUUUCCGGCGACUUCCAGAACUGAUUUCCGGUUGUUUCAGCAUGGUUUUCUGGUGGAUUUAUGAGAAAUCCCCAAAGUAAAAGGUCGAUUCUGACGCUAAUGGAAAGUCCAGAUGACAACCGUAAGACGAAGACUUUUUCUUGUAAGGGCGUAGACCUCGCUGAGAGCGAUAGUUCGUGAUGAACCAGCCAAACCCUAGUAUUGUAUAGUACGAUUUGUUCCUUUUGGAGUUCAUGAUAUUGUAUAGAUUUAUAAAUAGAAAGGUUUAAGAGAGUAGAAAUUUUAAAUUUUUAGUUGUAAAUGCACGCUUUCAUUUAUAAUGUUUGUUUUUAGCACUUA